rnacentral:rRNA from 1 species
UUGACCUCAAAUCGGGUGAGACUACCCGCUGAACUUAACA